rnacentral:rRNA from 1 species
UCUCGAGGAAGGACAUCACCCACAGAAGAAGCACUGGCUAACUCCGUGCCAGCAGCCGCGGUAAUACGGAGGGUGCGAGCGUUAAUCGGAAUUACUGGGCGUAAAGCGCGCGUAGGCGGUCUGAUAAGCCGGUUGUGAAAGCCCCGGGCUCAACCUGGGAACGGCAUCCGGAACUGUCAGGCUAGAGUGCAGGAGAGGAAGGUAGAAUUCCCGGUGUAGCGGUGAAAUGCGUAGAGAUCGGGAGGAAUACCAGUGGCGAAGGCGGCCUUCUGGACUGACACUGACGCUGAGGUGCGAAAGCGUGGGUAGCAAACAGGAUUAGAUACCCUGGUAGUCCACGCCGUAAACGAUGUCGACUAGCCGUUGGGGUCCUUGAGACCUUUGUGGCGCAGUUAACGCGAUAAGUCG